rnacentral:lncRNA from 1 species
GAAUGUGUAUUCUGCUGAUUUGGGGUAGAGAGUUCUAUAGAUGUCUAUUAGGUCUGCUUAGUCGAGAGCUGAGUUCAAAUCCUGAAUAUCUUUGUUAAUUUUCUGUCUCGUUGAUCUAUCUAAUAUUGACAAUGGGGUGUUACAUCUCUUUGUAGGUCUCUUAGAACUUGCUUUAUGAAUCUGGGUGCUCCUCUAUUGGGUGCAUAUAUACUUAGGAUAGUUAG